UUCCCCCCUCCUCUUUCUCUCUCUCUCAGCCCGCCCACUAAACUCUCCUUCCCUUAGCUUAGAUCUGUCAGUGUAUUGGCUCCAAAGAACUGUCACUCACUGUCAGCCUGCCGCCUCCACCUCCAGGUCCCUGCUCAGGUGUCAUUCACCCUGUAGGCCUGCUUUGAGGAAGAAGAACGGCCAGAGUGAGGUGGAUCGGAGCGCAAAGGCAAUGGAGAGAGAAGGCCUGCCUACCCAUCCGGUGCAAAUAUAUACCCUGUCCUCUACUUUUGCGACUGUGCUUUCCCCGUUUGGUUGAGCCGCAGUAGAAUAGAACCUCCAUGAGGAUGCCUUGCCAUUUUGACACUCCAGGUUGUAGAGCCUGUGUGGUAUUGAUGCUUCAGGGUGCAAGGAGUAACCUUUGAAAUCCAAGGCCAGAAGAAACUGGAAACUGAGUGGAUGCCCAUCAGUUGGAGAAUGGUUGAAUAAGUUAUGGUAUAUGAAUGUUAUGGAAUAUUACUGUUCUGUAAGAAACAAUCAGC